CGCUGCGACUGCUCUACACGCGGUCUCGGUUUCGGUAUCGGUUUUGACUCAUUCGCAAGCUUCGCGUGAGCUUUCGCUAGCAGUUUCGCUUCAAUGUUGGCCUUAAUUUAGUUGGUGCGCGUAUUUAGACCCUCACAGUUGUUACCGUUGCAUAUGAAACACGCAAACGUGCAACAGCAACACGACGAAUAACUAUACAAACCAAUAAGAACAAAAUAUUGUUGAAUUUUGUUUUUUUUUUCUAAGCUUCUUACAGAGAGGAAGAAAGCUCCAAAUCAACAGAAAGUAUUGCGCACGCUAAGGUAAAGGCAGAGGCAAACGCAAACGCAAGUAAAACAACAAAUUCAAAAUCAGCUGAGAAACCGAUGCAGACGCAGCAGUAGCGGCAGCAUCAAGAGUAAGAUUAGCGAAACGUGAGUUCAAAUUGGCAUAAAGUGUACUAAAAAUCAAGGCGAAAAAAAAAAAAAAAAAAAAAAA
rnacentral:sRNA from 1 species